AAUCAACGCUGGCGGCGUGCCUAACACAUGCAAGUCGAGCGGGAAAGGGGGCUUCGGCCCCUGAGUAUAGCGGCGGACGGGUGAGUAACACGUGGGUAAUUUGCCCUUGGGUGUGGAAUAACUCAGGGAAACUUGAGCUAAUACCGCAUGACAUCCCCUUCACACACGAGUCGGGGAUCAAAGCCGGGGACCCUUCGGGGCCUGGCGCCUGAGGAGAAGCCCGCGCCCGAUUAGCUAGUUGGGAGGUAAUGGCUCACCAAGGCUUCGAUCGGUAGCCGGCCUGAGAGGGCGGACGGCCACACUGGGACUGAGACACGGCCCAGACUCCUACGGGAGGCAGCAGUGGGGAAUUUUGUCAAUGGGGGAAACCCUGAACAAGCAACGCCGCGUGGAGGACGACGACCUGG
rnacentral:rRNA from 1 species